rnacentral:misc_RNA from 1 species
GCCGAAACUCAACAACAGCACAGGUUAACUAUAAGAGAUUAUAACAGUACUGCAUUCAAAGAAAAUUUUCAAUAGCAAGACACCAUUUCUGCUCCUGCUCCAAAGCCUCAAUACCUCAUAUAUAAAACUCGUUUACCAAGUUCCACGUCUAUUGCUACAAGAUCCCUUUCCCAUGGCCAAAUAUCACUCCUACUUAUCCAACCAUUUCAUGGUAUUAUCCUUAUUUUCCUUUACCAGUACUACCUAAUUAACUACCAAAUUAGGAAAAAAGAAUUAUGAGUUCUACCAGGCAUAAAAUAAUGAAAUGGCAUGUGCAAAUAGGAAUUGAUGACUAACAAAUCUACACCAGCACAAACCACAUCAGGUUGUGAAAGAU